rnacentral:lncRNA from 10 species
AAGGGCUCUGUGAAGUUCUUUAAAAAUAUUUCAGGGAAUGUUUUCUGGAGAAACUGCCCAGCUCUGGCUCAGAGCUCUCACAGGAACUGCAGAGGAAUUGAUGAGGAGAAACCUCACAUCCCAAAUGGCAGCAAAAUAAGAGACUUGGCAGCCUGUGGAGGCAGUGGAAGACAAUUAGGACAGGAAGCAGUUUGGAUCCAGUUGAAGACUUGGGAUUUUCCUGAAGAUAGAAUUCACCUUGGAGUCAGGUCACCGUGAUAGCCUUUUACCAUCUUAGAGCUAACAUAAUAUUUUGUGGGCAAUAACCUUGCGAACUGCACAGAGAUUUCAAGUUGAUUAUUUGACUGCCCAAUUGUUUCAAGCUCUGAAAUUGUCAGAUACUUACAAGCACCAUGUGCUGAAAACGACCAACUGCUGCAGUGCUCACAAGGGUCUGUUUUGAUUGGUGGCUUUACUCAGCCAUGUUUCUGUUUUUCAAAGCCCA